rnacentral:rRNA from 1 species
AGCAUGUGGUUUAAUUCGAAGCAACGCGCAGAACCUUACCAGCCCUUGACAUCCCGGUCGCGGAUCGCAGAGAUGCUUUCCUUCAGUUCGGCUGGACCGGUGACAGGUGCUGCAUGGCUGUCGUCAGCUCGUGUCGUGAGAUGUUGGGUUAAGUCCCGCAACGAGCGCAACCCCCGCCUUCAGUUGCCAACGGUUCGGCCGUGCACUCUGGAGGAACUGCCUGUGACAAGCAGGAGGAAGGUGGGGAUGACGUCAAGUCCUCAUGGCCCUUAUGGGCUGGGCUACACACGUGCUACAAUGGCGGUGACAGAGGGAUGCAAUACCGCGAGGUGGAGCAAAUCCCUAAAAGCCGUCUCAGUUCGGAUUGUUCUCUGCAACUCGAGAGCAUGAAGUUGGAAUCGCUAGUAAUCGCGGAUCAGCUCGCCGCGGUGAAUACGUUCCCGGGCCUU